GACUUUUUUGUACAGCUUUAACAGUGCUACUGUAUCUUUUUUGACAAAGACCCAAACGGUGUUCCAUAGUAUGUAUGUUGUGAAGAUAAUAGCAUUGAUGCUAUACUGUGUAACUCCGGUAGGGCAACAUCUGAAAAAUAGCCCACGUGCUAAUGUGUACCGGUGCUCGACCCGUCGGCGAAAGCCAACAUCACCCACGACAGAGAAUGGUUGUUUGUCAAGGUCAAUGAAUUCCAUUAUCUUGGCUUUAAUGGAUUAGCCUUUGACUUGUCUCACUGAAAUGCUCUUACUCUUUCAAAUGACUGCUCGACUUGUUGACUGCUCGAUCCACACAGCAGACAUUGUCGGCUAGGUUAGGAAUGCUGUGUUGCACAUCUAGUGCAAAAUUUUAAGUGGCGUCAUUACAUCAUGUUAUAAGUUAUAUAGGUAUGCACGGUAGCUUUGACAUCGGCCUUUACUAGACAUCGGACCGAUACCGAUGUUGCCAUUUUUAGUUAAUAUUGGCCAAUUCCGAUAUCUUGUUGCAUCCCUAAUAUUUUCAUCACCAAAUACCUGAAUAAAACACACUAUUUUGCAAUGAAUGUCUACAGGAGACUCAACAGCACCCUCUAGGGUAGCGCAAUGGUGUAGCCGGAGGACAGCUAUUUUCCAUCUUCCUCUACAUUGACUUCAAUACAAAACCGAGAAGGCUCAUGGUUCUCACCCCCUUCCAUAGACCUACAUGGUAGUUAUGACGACUUCCGGAGGACAUCUUCCAACCAAUAAAAGAUGUUGCAGUAUGAACUGACAUGUUGUCCAUCCAAUCAAAGGAUCAAAGAAUGAACGUAGUACGACACGCGUGAUUUCGAAGCUUGAUUCAAACUUCUGGGAAAAAUCCUCAUCGAUCAUUUAAUGGGUGAAGAUCUGUGUAUUCAAACUGCGUAACACAACAAGAAGCUAAGUACCCUCCUGUUCCCUGAUUAAGGGGUGAUGACAAUUCCACUGCACUACCAGUGUCAACUCUCUCCUGACAUGAACUGAAGCCAUGUCUCAUGUGCCCUCUCAUCCACUGGCGCAUUGAAGGUGUCCUCUCCGAGCACUUCAAAUCCUGUGCUGCCCUCAGUGUGAGAGUUGAGCUCUUCUCCAACACCAUCCAUGCAUGAUGAGCCUGUCCUGCACUGAAGCCUAUGAAGACCUCAACCCCUGUUCUGCACUGAAGUCAAGCCUCUGAACACCUCAACUCAUGCCUCAUACCCUCAUUCAAUCACUGCGGUGAUCCCUUCCCAACACUGUGUCAAAGGGCUUUUAAUGAAGAGCUGCUCUCCAGAAAACAUCGCUAGCACAUCGUCCCUGGGCCAUCUCGCCAUACAGUCCCUAUGAAAAAUGCAGGGUCGGUGUUGUAGCCAGCAGAGAGCUCCCGCCUGUGCUGUCACUCGCCUUGCCCACAGGUCCACACCAAAGUAGCCUGUGUUUUCUUCCUUCCUCUGCAGCACUGGAACAACACACAUUAUCACAUCAUCAAUAUUCAUCCUUGUCUCUCUCCUGUCCCCUCUUCUCCAGGUCUGCUCACAUGUAUCCAUCAUCUCUCCCCAUUUUUACCUUCCCUUUCCACUUCCACAGUGCCUUCUACCGUCUUCCCUUCUCCCCUCCCGCUGUCUGUACCCUCCAUCUCUCUCCCCUCCAUCUCUCUCCCCUCCAUCGCUCCUGCUCCUCUCCUCUGAUUGAGGUGGGUUUGGACCUUAAUGAAUGUAUGCAUGGAGCUGCCGAUGCCAAAAAAAUGAUUCCUCCGCUUUUUUUUUGCUAAGAAAGGGCAUCUGAAGCCAUUUGUGAUGCAAAUGUGACUGAUGAUCUGGCUAGCGUGAUCCUUAGCAUGUUUGAAGGCAUUGUUAGUAUGUUCUGUGCUAUGCUGUGACAGAUUAGCGGCUUUGCACAUGUAGCCCUUGCCCCGUUAAAUCUGGUCUGUCAAAAUGGGCAAGCCAUGGAUUUACUGACUGACAAAAAUAAGUACAAGCGUACACACACGCACACACACAGAGCCACAUACAUACACACACAGAGAGCCAUGUACACACACACACACACACACACACACACACACACACACACACACACACACACACACACGCUAGACGGUGGGCUGUGAGAAUCCACCUCUACUCUCCCUCUAGAGCCAGAGAGUUUGUAGAGCAGCUUGUUUUAUUGUAUUUCCAGCUUGUAACAAAUCCUACUAUCAUGAAAAAAUCCACACUGUCUCCCUAGAUUUAGUCGAAGCAUUUACCUGCCUCCAUUUUCUCCCAUAAAAGCUCUCCACUAACAAAAACAGCCGCAGAGUAUUUUUCUUUCCUCUUUAGCCCCAGACUCCUUUUCUCCUUCACAACCUUCCUCCCUCUCCAGUUGAACAUCUUCAAUUAUUUAAUCAUCUCUAAACCAUAAAAAUGUUUUAAUUGUCCAUACGGGUCUCCUUCUCGCCCCAGCAGUCACCUACAGACAGUCAGUAGCUAGCAGAGUAGUCUGGUCUGGUCUAGGGCCAGUAGCUUUCACACGUCUUUGAUCUCUCUCUAUCGGGUCGACAGGCUUUCAUUCAAUUAGGCCCAGUGUUGUUGUUAUCCCUAAUAAUAGAGCCCCUCCACCUUCCUCGGCACCCUGUCACCAUCUCACUCAUCACAGCCACUGUCCCCCAUCUCCUCAUCUCCAUCUCAGCAAUCAGCCCUCUUAUUACUAUCAUCACUACCAGGGGAGAGAAUGAAGGAGAGGAGAUACAGGGAGAUGGGGGAGUGGGGCUGGGUGGCUGGAGGGA